rnacentral:rRNA from 1 species
GACGUAGGGGGCAAGCGUUGUCCGGAAUCAUUGGGCGUAAAGCGCGUGUAGGCGGCCCGAUAAGUCCGCUGUGAAAGUCCAGGGCUCAACCCUGGGAUGCCGGUGGAUACUGUCGGGCUCGGAGUCGGAAGAGGCGAGUGGAAUUCCCGGUGUAGCGGUGGGAAUGCGUAGAGACUCCCCAAAGAACACCAGUUGCGAAGGCGGCCGACUGGACACAUAUUGACGCUGAGGCUCGAAAGCAUGGGGAGCAAACAGGG